rnacentral:RNase_P_RNA from 1 species
UCAGUCGGCCGGACGGCCGCUCCGGCAAGUGCCGAAAGGCCGCCGGGGAGGAAAGUCCGGGCUCCCUUGACAUACGGUGCCGGAUAACGUCCGGCGGGGGCGACCCCAGGGAAAGUGCCACAGAGAACGAACCGCCCCGCUUCGCCUUCGGGCUUCGCGGGGUAAGGGUGAAAAGGUGCGGUAAGAGCGCACCGCGGGUCCGGCAACGGAGCCGGCAUGGUAAACCCCACCGGGAGCAAAACCGAAUAGGGACGGCGUAGCGGGCUGUUCGCUUUAAGCGAUAACGCCGCGGGGCGAUGUCAGGCCCGCCGUCCGGGUAGGUUGCUCGAGGCCAUGUGCAAACAUGGUCCCAGAGGAAUGGCCGUCACGUAUCGUUCGCGCAAGCGGGCGGUGCCUUACAGAACCCGGCUUACAGGCCGGCUGAUAUU